rnacentral:misc_RNA from 1 species
GAUUAUUUUCUCCUCUGUCUCGAUCAUUCUUUUCAAAAUCGUCUUUCAUAGCUUUGGAUUUUUAGCUCAGUUUCCGACGGCGGAUAUUUGCUUUUCAUACCUCUCUGCACAUGGCGCCGUCGAACAAGAUCGACACGGCUCACCAGAUGUACAGAGACGGAAAGUAUGAGCAAGCGCUGGGCUUUUACACUGACGCGCUUUCCAUGGCCAAAACCAAGCCCCAGAAGAUCGCUUUGCAUAGUAACAGAGCUGCCUGUUUUUUGAAAUUGCACGAUUUCAAAAAGGCUGCUGAUGAAUGCACGUCCGUGCUGGAGCUUGAUCACAAGCACGCUGGAGCGUUGAUGCUGCGGGCGCAGACACUAGUCACCCUCAAGGAGUAUCACUCCGCCCUCUUUGAUGUCAACAGGCUUAUGGAGUUGAACCCUUCUUCGGAAGUUUAUCGAAAUCUUGAAGCUCGGUUGAGGACACAAUUGUCACUUGCUCCAAUACCUGAAUCUGAAGCUGAGUUGGAAGAAGAGGAAGAAAAAGAUGAAGCAGAACCAUUUAGACCUGAGGAAGAACAGCAAGACGGAGAAGAUGCAGCUAUAACAAUAGCAAGAACUAAUCAGCAAACUGAACCUUGUGCAGCUACUGUUAACACUGAACUUGUGCCUAGAAUUCCAACCAUCAACGGGUCUUCUGAAAUA